rnacentral:rRNA from 1 species
UACGGAGGUGGCAAGCGUUAUUCGGAUUUAUUGGGUUUAAAGGGUGCGUAGGCGGGCUGUUAAGUCAGCGGUCAAAUGUCGGGGCUCAACCCCGGCCUGCCGUUGAAACUGGCGGCCUCGAGUGGGCGAGAAGUAUGCGGAAUGCGUGGUGUAGCGGUGAAAUGCAUAGAUAUCACGCAGAACUCCGAUUGCGAAGGCAGCAUACCGGCGCUCAACUGACGCUCAGGCACGAAAGUGUGGGUAUCAAACAGG